rnacentral:lncRNA from 1 species
GACCACAUUUAGGAGAGGUUCAUCCAUAGAAUGAAUGCACAACACAGGGGCACCAUUGAUGUUCAUAUUCAGAUUUUAUUACCUCCAGUCCCAAUCUGAGCACUCAUCUGGGCAAUCCAGAGGGUCAGUUCACAGGAUCUGAGGCCAGGGGGAGUAAGAUGGGCUCUGGAUGGCAGGAGAGGGUUAUAGAGUGUGUGGGAGGCAAUGUCUGGGGAAGACACUGGAUCCCUGGUUAAUGCUUGGAAGAUUCCUGGGACCUGGGAAGAGUGAGUGAGUGGGGCACCCUAGCGAGGGAUGUGGAACAGAGCUCCUGGGUCCCUGGGAAGGAAUGAAGGACUGGGCACCCCUAGAAAGAGCUGGAGGAAUCCUGCAGGAUUACUGCAUUGGCAGAGGGCAGGGCUCUCACUCACCUGCACUGAUCCAGGCUGGGACCUGGAAGCUGCAGCAGCAGCAGCAGCAGCAGCAUUAUUGAGUUGUACCCCCAAAGCAUACCAGCAUGGGGACCAAGAGACAGGAUCCAAUGGCCAUCUGUUUCACCAACAGGACAAAAGGAGCUCCCACACUGAUCCGCGUCUGCAGAACACAGCUGUGUGGAGACAGGAAGUCAAGAACCAAUGGCCAUCUACUUCACCAGUGGGACCACAGGCUCUCCCAAGAUGGCCCAGCACUCUCAGAGCAGCCUUGGAACUGACUACACCCUCUGUGGAAGGUAUUGGCUAGACCUGAGUCCUCAGAUGUCAUAAACAACAUGUCCAACACUGGCUGGGUCAAGGCCACCAUUGGCAGUGUGUUUUCUUCCUGGCUUCAGGGA